GGUUCAGAUUGGUGGUAAUUAAAUGACAGACAAAGGUUAUUUUACUUAAAUAUACAGCUUCAUGCCACUUUAUGUUCUUUUGUUUUCCCUUCAGAUGACAUGAUUGGGCUAAACUGCUACUGCAGGGAGGUUAACUUUUACUGUGCCAAAAAGAAGAGAGUUUUCCUGGUGGCUAUCCUGAAGCAGACUGUUGAUUUUAAAAAUGCCAAAAGGCAAUCAGCCCUGGGAUCGAAGCUCUGAGGAGGUUUCAUGUUCUGGGUUUUAUUUUCUGACUUCUUGAUUGCUGGAAUCCCCGCAAAAUGUCUAAAGUGGUCCAGUGUGUAACCAAAGAGGCUGUCACUGCGCUGCAGUUGGUCUCAGUGGGAUGUGAGGCCACUGAUGGUAAAAAUAAAUCGUUCAAACA